rnacentral:lncRNA from 1 species
GGAAGUGAGAGUUCAGAGUUUCUGAAGCUUCAGGGCUGUUAUGGGCUGAAUUGCGUUCUCCCAAAAUUCAUCUGUUGAAGUUCUAACUCCCCGUAUGUCAGAACGUGACUGCAUUUGGAGAUUGUCUCUUUAAGGAGGCACAUACAGAGAGAAAAUCUUGUGGAAGCUCAGAGAGACGACGGCCACCUACAAGCUGAGGAGAGAGGCCUCUGGAGAAACCAACCUUGUCCACACCUUGAUCUCAGACUUCCAGCUUCCAGACUGUCAGACAAUCACUCUGCUGUCUGGAAGCAGGAAAACAAGAUGGCACAUUCCUAGCAAGGGCCCAGUGUCCCUUCAGUUGACCCUGGUGGAGACCAACCACACCACCUUUGAGGACCCCUCUCCUGGAACAGUGGCUAAAUCGGAACCAUCCCAAAUCAAGGCAGGGCGGCUGUGGAAUGCUCAUUUGAGUGUGACAUUGUACUUCCUCCAGUCGAGGUGGACUUUCCCCUGCUCCCCUUGAAUCAAGGAUGGCCUUGUGACUUGCUUAGACUAAGAACAUGCAACAGAAGUGAUGGUGUGCCAGCUGGAGACCAGGCCUUAAGAACUUGUAUGGGCUUCUCCAGCUCUCUCAGAACCCUUCCACUGCCCUGAGAAUUAGCCCAGGCUAGCCUGCCAGAAGAUGGGAGACCAGACAUGAGAGCCGAAGUGCUCCAGCAGAGCCAAUUCACCAGCUGACUGCACAAGCACAAGCCAACCUAGCUGAGAUCAGCCGAGCCUGGUCUAGAAAACACAGCUGACCAGCCGACUUGUAGACCUGUGACACAAAUUAAACGUAAUUUUUU